GUGCGUUACAAUACAAAGUUACGAGCACCCAACGUUAACCGAAAGAAACCACCAGUGCAAAUACUCGUCGAAAACCUCAGUGCACUGAGGAGGAAACACAGGCAUAGCCUUUGUGAGAACAAGGCCCUGGCAAAGAGCUUGGCAGCCGCUAGACAGGAGUUGACGGAGCAGUGCGAGCUGAUGAAGCACAAACGGGAAAUCUUUAGCAUCCACUUGCCCAGGGUAAGGAGAUGGGUGCAAGAGAGUUCGAAAGCCCUGCAAACGGUCAUGACGAACCACAUCAAUGUGGUGAAUCUGCUCAGCCAGAUCCUGGAUCCGGAUGGCAGACCCUCCUUCACCCCACAGGAGAGUUCAGCACCAGAGGAGCUGCCAGAUAGGCAUGUGUUCUACAUAGAAU